rnacentral:rRNA from 1 species
UACGUAGGCAGCAAGCGUUGUUCGGAGUUACUGGGCGUAAAGGGUGCGUAGGCGGUUGUUUAAGUUUGGUGUGAAAUCUCCCGGCUCAACUGGGAGGGUGCGCCGAAUACUGAAUGACUGGAGUGCGGGAGAGGAGAGUGGAAUUCCUGGUGUAGCGGUGAAAUGCGUAGAUAUCAGGAGGAACACCGGUGGUGUAGACGGCUCUCUGGACCGUAACUGACGCUGAGGCACGAAAGCGUGGGUAGCAAACAGG